AGUCUCACUCAUGCCCUCUCCCUCUAGUGUGGGAAAACAAGAGGAACCUCCAAAAUUUCCUAGCUGCACAAAGAAAUUGGUGGAAAUUCACUUCAUUUUGAAGCUCGGGGUUUCUAUGUGGUUGAUUUAAUCAAAAUAUUAAUGUGAUUUUUCUAGAAGAAGAAAAAGGGAAAAUAUAAAAAUCAUGCUGAUUGGAUUUGAAUAGAUUGUAUUGAUCAUAUAUGAAUAUUAUCUUUCAUCCAGAUUGGAAAGUACUGUUUUGAAAUCCAGUCCUUCACACUUCCAAACUGAUCAUUUUUAAUAAGUAAAUGUCAUUUUGGCUUUUUUUUUUUUUUUCUGGUCAGGAAGAAAAACAAGAAGUUUCCUUCCGCAAACUUCCUAAAAGGUGCCAUGUGUUUUCCUAAAACCAAGGAAAAUUCUAAAAUAGAACUACCAUAUGAUUCAGCAAUCCCACUUCUCUAAAUCUCCAGAAUCUCCAGGGAUUGGAACCAAGUGCUUUAUCUUUACCAUAUACCAAUCCAUGAAUCAACUCCAAAACAGAUCUCUAGAAACAGACAAGACUGACUACUGCCUGAAGGUUUCUGACACCAAGUUCCUGAGAUGUACCAAAUAUGAAAUAAUUUUAGAAUUCGAUCUCAAAUGGCCCUUUUGCAAACUCCAAAAUGUUGUGUACAUGGAACAGAGGCUGUUAGGAAAUUUGCCUUGCAACUAAAAUUUAAGCAAAGAAACAACUUGUCAUCUACCUGUUUACCUCUAACAGAAGCUUAUACACAUAUGCAUGGGCUUGGAGAAAAUGAUAUUCACUUAAAAACAAUAUAAUAAUGACAUGUACAGAGCCAUAUAGCUCCAAAACCUUUCAAGUGCUACGUCCAUUUGUGAGGACAUAUUUAUCAGUCUAGUACUACCUUGUAACAGUACAAAAGUACAUUCACAUUAUUUUUUCUAAAGGAGCUUAGUUCCUAGAGGGAAAAAUACACUCUUCUCAAAGUUUUAUAAUAAUAAUUAACAUACCCUACAUGAUGUUUGUGAGACUCAAAUAAGGAAAACAAUGGAAUAUGCUAUAUAAGAGCAACA
ensembl:lncRNA LINC02316 long intergenic non-protein coding RNA 2316